rnacentral:rRNA from 1 species
AGAGGAUCCGAGCGUUAUCCGGAUUUAUUGGGUUUAGAGGGAGCGUAGAUGGAUGUUUAAGUCAGUUGUGAAAGUUUGCGGCUCAACCGUAAAACUGCAGUUGAUACUGGAGUCUUGAGUACAGUAGAGGUGGGCGGAAUUCGUGGUGUAGCGGUGAAAUGCUUAGAUAUCACGAAGAACUCCGAUUGCGAAGGCAGCUCACUAGACUGUCACUGACACUGAUGCUCGAGAGUGUGGGUAUCAAACAGGAUUAGAUACCCUGGUAGUCCACACAGUAAACGAUGAAUACUCGCUGUUUGCGAUAUACAGUAAGCGGCCAAGCGAAAGCAUUAAGUAUUCCACCUGGGGAGUACGCCGGCAACGGUGAAACUCAAAGGA